rnacentral:rRNA from 1 species
GAUUUUUGGUCAAGCUACAAAGGGCACAUGGUGGAUGCCUUGGCAGAUGAAGGCGAUGAAGGGCGUGGUAAGCUGCGAUAAGCUUCGGGGAGGUGCAAACAACCUUAGAUCCGGAGAUGCCCGAAUGGGGGAACCCGUUCCGAGUCAUAUCGGAACACGCCGGGAUGAAAACAUUAGGAAGUAAUCCUGGAGAGCUAACCUGGCGAACUGAAACAUCUAAGUACCCAGUGGAAGAGAAAUCAACCGAGAUUCCCAAAGUAGCGGCGAG